rnacentral:lncRNA from 1 species
UGCUUGAGCCGUUGCCUAUUCCAGUGUGGAAGUGGGACCGACAUCACCAUGGAUUUGUUUUUAGUCUUACCUCGUACCCGUGAUGGGCAUGACGGUAUUUGGGUGAUUGUGGAUAGACUCACCAAGUCUGCACAUUUCUUGCCAGUGGGAAAGAAGUAUAAAUUGGAUAAAUUGGCGGAGCUCUAUGUGAAUGAAAUUGUGAGGCUUCAUGGUGUUCCUGAAUCAAUAGUGUCAGAUCGGGACCCUCGAUUUGCUUCUAAAUUCUGGGGAGCUCUUCAGGCAGCUUUAGGUACCCAAUUACUCUUCAGCACUGCUUUUCAUCCUCAGACUGAUGGGCAGUCCGAGAGGACUAUUCAGACUUUGGAGGAUAUGUUGAGGGCUUGUGCCAUGCAGUUCAGAGGUAGUUGGGAUAAAAACCUAUCUUUGAUGGAAUUUGCCUAUAAUAAUAGCUAUCAUUCUAGCAUUGGUAUGGCGCUCUUUGAGGCUCUUUAUGGGAGGCAGUGUCGCACGCCUUUGUGUUGGAAUGAAGUAGGGGAAAAAGAGCUUUGUGGCCCAGAGUUAAUCCAUGUUACGAAUGAGAAGAUUAAAGUGGUUAGAGAUAGACUCAAGACUGCUCAAAGUAGGCAGAAAAGUUAUGCGGAUGUCCGUAGGAGAGAUCUUGAAUUUCAAGUGGGUGAUUGGGUGUUCCUGAAAUUAUCUCCUUGGAAAGGGAUUGUGCGUUUCGGUAAGCGUGGGAAGCUUAGCCCGAGGUAUAUUGGCCCUUAUGAGAUUAUAGAGCGAGUUGGCUCACUUGCUUAUCGAUUAGCCUUGCCUCCAGAGUUAGCUAGGAUACAUAAGGUGUUUCAUGUAUCCAUGCUUCGCAAGUAUAUUGCCGAUCCUUCUCAUGUGCUGCAAGAGCAACCGAUCAGUUUGACGAGAGAUUUGACCUAUGAAGAGGAACCGGUUCAGAUUCUCGACCGAAAGGAUCAAGUGCUUAGGAACAAGACAAUCCCGCUUGUCAAGGUGCUGUGGAGAAGUCAUCAAGUAGAAGAAGCUACUUAGGAAUCAGAGGAGCAAA